GGUGGUUCUCAGGUAAUCACCCUGGAAUCGGGCUCCCUCCUCUCUGGUUCCAGGUGCAUCACCUGAGAACUGCA
rfam:Myotis davidii contig5266, whole genome shotgun sequence.